UUUAAUUAUCAUAUAUAAAAGUGAAAUACGAAAAUAUAAAUUAAUUUUAGUUGGGGCAACUGGGAGGGAUAAAAAUCUUUUAUUAAAUCAUUUAUAAUAAUAUUUAUAUUUAUGAUCCAAAUUAGUUAAUUUUGAACUUAGAAU
rnacentral:rRNA from 1 species